rnacentral:lncRNA from 1 species
GGGAAGGAAGAGAGGAAGGAGGAUUGGGGCUUACCUCAAACUCCGAUGAGAUCUCCGACGAGAAUUUGAGGCAAACACGAGAAGGGCGUGGACAGCUUCAAUGAAAAAAUCUAAAAUAAAGAAGAGGAAGAAACUAGUGCUCCUCGUGGCCGACCAUGGAAGAGGAAGAGAGAAUUUUAUAGAGGUAUUUUUAGGGUUUCUAGUGGCCUUAGGAGUCCUUAUUCUAGUUGG